CAUCGAUGUCGGCCUUGGGCAGGCUCACAUCCACAUCUGGACCUUCUCCUUUGAAGCCAGGCAUGCUGAAUUUGGGCAUUUUCACCUUGGGCAUCUUCAGGUGCCAGUCUGGGCCAUGAACAUCCACAUCAGGGGUGUUGAUGUCCACUUUUGGGCCCUUGAUGUCAGCUUCUGGGCCCUUGAGGUCACCUUCCACUUUAGGAAGGGUAACAUCCACAUCGCCCUUCACUUUGGGUCCUUUCAGGUUUAAGUCAAUAUCAGGCAUGGAGAUCUUGGGGGCUUUGAUAUUCAUCUCUGGCAUCUUGAACUUAGGCCCUUUCAACUUUCCCUCUGGUCCUUCAAUGUUAACAUCAGGGCCUUCAAUGUCCACUUUGGGUCCUGAGACAUCAAUGUCAGCCUUGGGCAGCUUCACAUCCCCAUCUGGGCCCUCUCCUUUGAAGCCAGGCAUGCUGAACUUUGGCAUUUUCACCUUGGGCAUCUUCAGGUGCCAGUCUGGGCCUUGAACCUCCACAUCUGGGACAUCAAUGUCCAUUUUGGCACUUUUAAGUUCAACAUCAGGAACUUUAAUCUCACUUUCAACCUU
rnacentral:lncRNA from 1 species